rnacentral:rRNA from 1 species
UACGAAGGGGGCUAGCGUUGCUCGGAAUCACUGGGCGUAAAGGGUGCGUAGGCGGGUCUUUAAGUCAGGGGUGAAAUCCUGGAGCUCAACUCCAGAACUGCCUUUGAUACUGGAUACCUAGAGUAUGGAAGAGGUAAGUGGAAUUCCGAGUGUAGAGGUGAAAUUCGUAGAUAUUCGGAGGAACACCAGUGGCGAAGGCGGCUUACUGGUCCAUUACUGACGCUGAGGUGCGAAAGCGUGGGGAGCAAACAGG